rnacentral:rRNA from 1 species
UAUAGUGGUGAUAGUACUUUGAACGCACCCAUCCUCGAUCAAUCACUGAAGUUAAGCGACGUUGCGCGAGGUUAGUAUCCGGAUGGGUGACCACUGUAACCAGCUGAGCAAUCGCUGCUA